rnacentral:rRNA from 1 species
UACGUAGGGGGCAAGCGUUGUCCGGAAUUAUUGGGCGUAAAGAGCUCGUAGGCGGUCUGUUGCGUCCGCUGUGAAAUCUCGGGGCUUAACCCCGAGCCUGCAGUGGAUACGGGCAGACUAGAGGUAGGUAGGGGAGAAUGGAAUUCCCGGUGUAGCGGUGAAAUGCGCAGAUAUCUGGAGGAACACCGGUGGCGAAGGCGGCAUCCUGGACCGACACUGACGCUGAGGAGCGAAAGCCAGGGGAGCAAACGGG